GUCAGGGUUAAAGCAGAUGAUUGGGUUCCAAGUUCCUGAAAGCUUUCCUCUAAGGCAUUGCUAGGCUAUGUAAGGGCUACAGGAGGGGAGGAGGACGGAAGGAAAGGAGAAGAUAAGAAAACCUUUGCAGUUUCUCUGACAGGAGGAUAGCAGGAUGACCUUUUUCAUGGGAAGAUUUGUGGAACUUUCAGGAGACCCUGUGGCUUCUACAGAGAUGCUGUGGAUUACUCUGUGCCUGAAAUGUG